GCCCCGGUAGCUCAGCAGGACAGAGCAGCCGCCUCCUAAGCGGCAGGUCGCAGGUUCGAAUCCUGCCCGGGGCGCCA
rnacentral:tRNA from 1 species